AACUGUGAGUCAGAGCUGCUCAAUUAUUUUAACGUGGCUGUACCAUUCAUAGUCCUCCGCUUCCAAAUCCACACAGGAAAACAACUGUUAUGGUCCCAAAUUGCAAACCUCUCUCUGGUAAAAUAAACUGCUGCAGUUCAGGAGUCAGGACAUCCUUGAUUCGUCUGGUGAACCCAUGACCACCUACAGAAUACAUAACACACACAUGAAUCCCUGGCAACAGAAGAAGAUCAUAACCCUGCAGUACGCUUCAUCACAGCAAAAUGCCCUUGAAAGAAGAGCCUGGAAUACCAAUGCUCACUGCUGUGAGAGAGACCAACCUUAUCUCUCAACUGCAGCUCUGCACAGGACACGCAGAAUUCUUCCAUUGACCCAGCCCCAGAAAGGACCA